rnacentral:lncRNA from 1 species
UGAGCCCAAGCCAGCCUAGACCAGGCUUAGGUGUGGCCAGGAGCAGUGAGUAAAUCACAAUGACAUUAUGAUGGAGCAGAUGUCCCCACAUCAGCCUCUGUACACAUUGGAGCCAUGUCACUAUUUGAGUAGGAUCAUAAUGGUGACAAGGGGAAGGGCAUCUUUGAUCAGGAUGAGGUUGUUUGUACCUCCAAAGGUUCAUAUUGUAAUCCAGGCUUUGCCCAUUUUGUCCAGGAGGUUGAAAGAGAGAAUGCAAUUAAUCUCAGCAGUAAACACAUUGAAGUGAAAACGGUCUCGAAAUGGAGGCACACACUUUUGCUUACUUCCUUUUUGUUCAUAAGGAGUACUUAGUUCCCAGAAGGGGACAAAGUCCUGGUAAUCCAUUCUUGUUAGGAGGAGUGCUUGUUCCUACACUGUGUUAAUACCCACUUGUCUCCAUUAUCAUGAAGGAUGUGUGCUCAUAAAAAUUUAAUGAAGGAUCUGCCUGUCCAUAAACCUCACAAAAACACAGCUUUUUCUUAUUCUAUUCAGAGUACUGUCCCUGACCUCCUGGAUUCUCACAGGAGAGAAAGUACAUCUCCAUUUCACUGGGAGAGAGCAGAGCUUCAAGAGUGAUAAUACCUUCCAGGAGCUUCUUACCUGGAGUAAGAAGCUUCAAGAGAAGAGUAGGUAAGUCCACUGCUCUGCAGUGAAGCAGCAGAGAACUUGAACACCAGCUGAGGUGGUACUUCUUGGGAUUCAGUCUGGAAUUGUGGAGAACAGAAAAGGAAGUGGACAGUGGCCAUUGAGGAGAGAGGUUAAGAGCAU